CCUACGGGAGGCAGCAGUGAGGAAUAUUGGUCAAUGGCCGGAAGGCUGAACCAGCCAUGCCGCGUGAAGGUCAGUGCCCUAUGGGCGUUAAACUUCUUUUGUGCGGGAGCAAUAAUGGUCACGUGUGGCCAGACGAGAGUACCGUACGAAUAAGCAUCGGCUAACUCCGUGCCAGCAGCCGCGGUAAUACGGGGGAUGCAAGCGUUAUCCGGGUUUAUUGGGUUUAAAGGGUGCGUAGGCUGGGUGGUAAGUCAGCGGUGAAAUGCCCCCGCUCAACGGGGUGAAGUGCCAUUGAUACUGCCUGGCUGGAAUACAGAUGCCGUGGGAGGAAUGUGUGGUGUAGCGGUGAAAUGCAUAGAUAUCACACAGAACACCGAUUGCGAAGGCAUCUCACGAAUCCGCGAUUGACGCUGAUGCACGAAAGCGUGGGUAUCAAACAGGAUUAGAUACCCGGGUAGUC
rnacentral:rRNA from 1 species